rnacentral:rRNA from 1 species
AAGGCUUCAGUACGACCCAGUCAGAACUAUAAGUCUCAAAGCCCCGACGAGUAGGGUGGCGUGCCGGUGCGCGUUGAAGGCCAAGACGUGAGUCAGGCUGGAGCCGCCGGUACUGCAGAUCUUGGUGGUAGUAGCAAGUACUCUGGUGAACCAACCUGGAGCUGUGAGGUCUGGAUUAGGGUUCCAUGUCAACAGUGAUUGAACAUGGGUGAGUCGAACCUAAGCCAACUGUGAAAGCAGUGACAUCCCGACAAAGGGGCACUGCAGGUGCUGCACUUACACCCCCAAAGCAAAGCUCUCGUAUUGCUCUCUCUCUCACUCAAAGUCUCUCUGGCUAUAAGGUGUCUGGCAAGGAAUACAAGCACACACACUAUGAUCACUAUACAAAAAUACGUGUGAGUGUGUGUGCGGUGCGGUCUGAUCUGGUAACGGAAUAGUUGAGCACACACACACGAUAAUCACUACAAGUGAGUGUGUGUGCGCGCGUGCGCGCGCUGGUCUGGUUACGCUCAUAAGCGUUGUUGUGCUCUGGCAAAUGGAUAAACAAGGUGGCAUACAUAAAACGAGAGAGAGAAACGGAGUGGGUGAGCGUGAGUGUUUGCUCUUGCAUUAUUAGCUCCUGCGUCUGGUUCUAUGUCCGGCGAAAGGGAAUGGGGACUUUGUUCCUUGACCGGUCCUGGCACCCUCGAUUGGCUUUGCCAAUUAAUGGUCCAUGCAAAUGGAACCAGGCCACAGCCGUCGGCAGUCGCCCGAGGAAGAGUUUUCUUUUCUGCUUAACGCACGAGGUCAUUCCUGGAAACAGUUCGGCUGGCGAAAGGGUGCCCCGCUGCGGCAGAGCGCCACGACUGUCGUGCGCGUCUCGGUGUUCCUGCUGAUCCGUGAAGACGUGGUCGAGGGGAUUGCUCUUGUAUCAACGAAACGCCCGACAAGUUCGGGACGGACCGUACCCUAUAUCCGCAUCUGGUCUCCAAGGUUCUUAGCCUCUGCAGAGUCAGACACAUGUAGGUAAGGGAAGUCGGCAAACUCGAUCCGUAACUUCGGGAAAAGGAUUGGCUCUGAGGGCCGAGCUGGGCCGGGCCUUGCCUGCAAAGCAGUACCUAUAGUGACCGGAGUUUCAGGAGUGCGAGGGGCUCUAGUAGCUGCUUGUGCGUGUGUGCGUUCGCGCGUGCACGCGUGUGGGCACGAACGGGUCCACCGCUCCGCUCCAACCACGAACGGCUGUGACGGCAAGGGCUCUGGGCGGGAGCGAUCGAUCCGUUGGCCCCAGCUCGUCUGGGGUGGCGGCGGUGCUCUGUCUGACCCAUACGGCUCCAGCGGCUAGCGGCUAACUC